AAUCCAUAGGUUAAUGAGGCGAACCGGGGGAACUGAAACAUCUAAGUACCCCGAGGAAAAGAAAUCAACCGAGAUUCCCCCAGUAGCGGCGAGCGAACGGGGAGGAGCCCAGAGCCUGAAUCAGCAUGUGUGUUAGUGGAAGCGUCUGGAAAGGCGCGCGAUACAGGGUGACAGCCCCGUACACAAAAGCGCAUGUGCUGUGAGCUCGAUGAGUAGGGCGGGACACGUGGUAUCCUGUCUGAAUAUGGGGGGACCAUCCUCCAAGGCUAAAUACUCCUGACUGACCGAUAGUGAACCAGUACCGUGAGGGAAAGGCGAAAAGAACCCCGGCGAGGGGAGUGAAAAAGAACCUGAAACCGUGUACGUACAAGCAGUGGGAGCACAGGUUUACCUGUGUGACUGCGUACCUUUUGUAUAAUGGGUCAGCGACUUAUAUUCUGUAGCAAGGUUAACCGAAUAGGGGAGCCGG
rnacentral:rRNA from 1 species